rnacentral:rRNA from 1 species
UACGUAGGGGGCCAGCGUUGUCCGGAAUUAUUGGGCGUAAAGCGCGUGUAGGCGGUCCGGUAAGUCCGCUGUGAAAGUCGAGGGCUCAACCCUCGAAUGCCGGUGGAUACUGUCGGGCUUGAGUACGGGAGAGGCGAGUGGAAUUCCUGGUGUAGCGGUGAAAUGCGCAGAUAUCGGGAAGAACACCCGUGGCGAAGGCGGCUCUCUGGGACGGUACUGACGCUGAGACGCGAAAGCGUGGGGAGCGAACAGG